rnacentral:piRNA from 1 species
UGGUACAAAUGGCAUCCUUUUCUAAUGC